rnacentral:rRNA from 1 species
UACGUAGGGGGCAAGCGUUGUCCGGAAUCAUUGGGCGUAAAGCGCGUGUAGGCUGCUCGGAAAGUCGGAUGUGAAAGCCCUGGGCUCAACCUAGGAAGUGCAUUCGAAACUUCUGAGCUGGAGUGCUGGAGAGGAAGGCGGAAUUCUCGGUGUAGAGGUGAAAUUCGUAGAUAUCGAGAGGAACACCGGUGGCGAAGGCGGCCUUCUGGACAGUUACUGACGCUGAGACGCGAAAGCGUGGGGAGCAAACAGG